GUGGGGAAUCUUAGACAAUGGGCGCAAGCCUGAUCUAGCCAUGCCGCGUGAGCGAUGAAGGCCUUAGGGUUGUAAAGCUCUUUCAGCUGGGAAGAUAAUGACGGUACCAGCAGAAGAAGCCCCGGCUAACUCCGUGCCAGCAGCCGCGGUAAUACGGAGGGGGCUAGCGUUGUUCGGAAUUACUGGGCGUAAAGCGCACGUAGGCGGAUCAGAAAGUCAGAGGUGAAAUCCCAUGGCGCAACCUUGGAACUGCCUCUGAAACUCCUGAUCUUGAGGUCGAGAGAGGUGAGUGGAAGUCCGAGUGUAGAGGUGAAAUUCGUAGAUAUUAGGAAGAACACCAGUGGCGAAGGCGGCUCACUGGUCUGGUACUGACGCUGAGGUGCGAAAGCGUGGGGAGCAAACAGGAUUAGAAACCCGGGUAGUCC
rnacentral:rRNA from 1 species